rnacentral:rRNA from 1 species
UACGAAGGGGGCUAGCGUUGCUCGGAAUCACUGGGCGUAAAGGGUGCGUAGGCGGGUCUUUAAGUCAGGGGUGAAAUCCUGGAGCUCAACUCCAGAACUGCCUUUGAUACUGGCGAGCUUGAGUUCGGGAGAGGUGAGUGGAACUGCGAGUGUAGAGGCGAAAUUCGUAGAUAUUCGCAAGAACACCAGUGGCGAAGGCGGCUCACUGGCCCGAUACUGACGCUGAGGUGCGAAAGCGUGGGGAGCAAACAGG